AUUGAACGCUGGCGGCAGGCCUAACACAUGCAAGUCGAACGAGUGGCGGACGGGUGAGUAAUGUCUGGGACACUGCCUGAUGGAGGGGGAUAACUACUGGAAACGGUAGCUAAUACCGCAUACCAUCAGAUGUGCCCAGGUGGGAUUAGCUAGUUGGUGGGGUAAAGGCUCACCAGGGCCACGAUCCCUAGCUGGUCUGAGAGGGUGAACAGCCACACUGGAACUGAGACACGGUCCAGACUCCUACGGGAGGCAGCAGUGGGGAAUAUUGCACAAUGGGCGCAAGCCUGAUGGAGCCAUGCCGCGUGAAUGAAGAAGGCCUUCGGGUUGUAAAGUACUUUCAGCGGGGAGGCGGUACCCGCAGAAGAAGCACCGGCUAACUCCGUGCCAGCAGCCGCGGUAAUAC
rnacentral:rRNA from 1 species